rnacentral:rRNA from 1 species
CCCUUAGAUGUUCUGGGCUGCACGCGCGCUACACUGAUGCGCUCAACGAGUUUACGACCUUGCCCGGAAGGGUUGGGUAAUCUUUUUAAAACGCAUCGUGAUGGGGAUAGAUUAUUGCAAUUAUUAAUCUUUAACGAGGAAUUCCUAGUAAGCGCGAGUCAUCAGCUCGUGCUGAUUACGUCCCUGCCCUUUGUACACACCGCCCGUCGCUCCUACCGAUUGAAUGUUUCGGUGAAGAUUCCGGAUAGGACUUUUUUGAUUUAUUUCAAUUUUGUCUUAAAAGCUAUCUAAACCUCAACAUUUAGAGGAAGGUGAAGUCGUAACA